rnacentral:SRP_RNA from 14 species
UGUGAGGCUGGCUUCACAAAGCAACC